UUCCCCAUGUUGGCCAGGCUGUUUUGGAACUGCUGACCUCAGAUGGUCCACCUGCCUCGGCCUCCCAAAGUGCUGGGAUUACAGGCCUGAGCCCCACACCCAGCCAGGACUGAAUAUGAUUUUCAGACCUGGUCUACACCUCUCUGAGCCUCAUUCCCUUCAUCUGUAGUGUGGAGGUAACAGUCAUCCUCACGUCAGGGCUGAACGCUGUCUUUCUGCAGCUCAGGCGUCGGUGGAUACCCAGGUAUUGAGUUCUCCCUCAUUCACCCGGGGGUUGAUCACAGUUGUUUCCAAACAAGUUGUACUUCAGAGGAAUUCUGCGCUGGCUGUUGAGACGUUACUUCUGUUCACUCUGUUGCAAUAUAUAUUCAUAACCUAGCCAGUGGGGCUUACUUCCCACUUGAAGGUGUAUUAGCUCAGCUGCCAUAACAAAAUACCACAGACUGGGUGGCUUAAAAACAUGUUAUUCCAGCUCUGGAGUCUGGAAAUCCAAGAUGAAGGUGCUGGCAGACUUGGCGUUGGGCGAGGGCUCGCUUCUUGGUUCGUGAACGGCACCUUCUUUCUGUGUGUGGGUUGGUGGAGGGAGAGAAAGAGGAAGGGGAGGAGCCUGAGCUCUGGCCUCUUUUUCUUACAAAGACACUAAUUUCAUUAUGAGGCCACCUUCACAGGUUCAAUCUAAGCUGAACUAUCUUCCAAAGACCCCAUGUCCAAAUACCAUUCCAUGGGGGGUUGUGGCUUUGACAUAUGAAUUUUGUGGGGACAGACAUGCAGUCCUUAAUGGAGGGUUAGGUUAAGACAUGGGCGGGGGGAAAAGGAAUGAAUACUCAGCUUCCAAUCCAGUCAACAGAAUUCCCUGCGGGGGCUGGUGAAAUGGGUGCCAGCCUCCCCAGGAGGUGGGAAGGAGCUGGGCCGGCAGGAAUAGAGUGAGGGACAGGAGAGCCUUAGCCAGGUGUGCGGGAUGGGUGGGGGUUGUGUAUGUGCUAGACUGUGUGCUACGUUUGAUGCUCCUGUAACAAGGCGAUUAAAUGUGACAUCUUAACAACCAGCCCCAGGAAGCAGCCUGAGAGGAUGGGAGGGUUGACGGGAAGCCCGGAGUGUACACAGUGGGAAUGUGCAUGGGAGCCAUGGCAGACCUCAGAGGGAGCCAGGAAAGGCUCUGAAGAUGGAACAGCCCUCUUGCAGGAGUGGGGUCAGAAGCCAGCUCUGAGGGAGGGAGACAGGCCCUAGAGGGGCUCAGAGGCAGGGCGAGUAGGAACCAGGCAGGCUUGGCCCUGGCUUCGGGGACCUCCCAUUUCUGACCCAGACCUGCCUCUCUGGUGCUCCUAAUGCCACAUUCUUCCCACACGAGGCUUCCUUUCUCUGGAGUUUGUCCUCAAAGGUGGAAAAACUGUUUCUACAGAGAAAGUUCACUGUUAUGGGUUGAAGUGUGUCCCGGAAGAGAGAACUCAAAGUCCUGACCACCCAGUACCUGGGAAAGUGACUGUGCUUGGAAAUAGCCUUUGCUGGUGUAAUCAGGCGGAGACGAGGUCCUUGGGGGACUCCGGUAGGUGGCUGUGUCCUGUAAGCAGAGGGAACACUCAGAGGGAAGAUGCCAUGUGGAGACGGAGGCAGAGGUGAGAGUCGUACAUCCUGGAGCUGAGGGACGCUGGGGGCAGCAGAAGCUGGGAGAGGAACGGAGGGACCCUCCCCCAGAGCCCCUGGCAGGAGCACAGCCCUGGCCACACCUGGAUUUCACACUCCUGGCCUCCAGACUGAGAGGCUACAUUUCUGUUGUGAAGCCUCCCAGAUGGUGACUUUCUGUUACAGCGGGGCCAGGCAACAAGAGCCAAUCCCUCCAGGGGGAAAAACGGGCCUCCGCACGUUCACUCUACAAAGCCUUUCAAGUGGAAGUCAAGCAACUCGGCCACAAAAGACACGAGGUGUGGGAGGAAGGCGAGCAGAGGAGACUCAGGAGGACCACAGGGCAAGGCCACGGGAGCCAUUGUGGGGAGUGAGGUCAGGGGUCAGAAGUCAGGGUCUCUGCUUGUUCCCAUCCAUGGCCCCAACCAUCCAAACCUCCUCUCUGAAGCUGUGCCCAGAACAGCCCAGGGCAACACCCAGCCUCCUCUUCCCACCUGCAGGCUCCUAGCACCCUCCAGGUUCACAAAUCCCGGGGGACAGUAUCAGGCCACCCCGCAGGAGAGACCCACCCCCUGCUGCCUGUGCCUGGUUCUUCCUCCCCCAGCUAAGAACCCAAAACCACCCUGAGCAGGUGUCAUCUGCUGCUUCCUUCCCAGAAGACCUCGGCCUGAGUCUUGUCAUUUAGUGCCUUGCGAAUGUGUGCUACACUCCUGACAUAUGCCUGGCACUGGGCCUUGGGGGCCCAGGAGCUGGUCACAGAGACGUUUGGGCCAGCGGUCAUGUUAAGGCCCGUUGCAAAGGGUGGCAACAAUAGCAGUUUGUGGGGACCUGGAAAACUCAGAGGGUGACCCACGAGCCCUGCCUGGAAGUCAGGAAGACCCUGAAGGUGUCUUUCGAGGUGUCCUGGGGGAGAUGCCAGGUGGAGAGGGGCAGGAGGGGCAUUGAAGGUGUGCCAGGUGGAAGCACCAGCCAGCAAAGUCUCGGAAGCAUGAUGUGCUGAGGAACCAUGGGGAUUUUUGGAGCACAAAAUGUGUGACAAAGAGAGACCGAACAUCAGAGAACACCAGAGACCAAACAGGAGUUUGGAGACAUCAGCUGGGGCCAGGCUCUUUUGGAGCAGGCUCCUGCCAAGGAGCUUCAGGGCUGCCCUGGAGGAAGGAGAGAUUUGAGACCAAGGAGGGCACUAAUCAGAGGACGUGGGCUGGUGGGCAUGUGGACGGCUCUGGGGAGAGCAGAGAAGUGGAGCAGGGGAGAUUCCAGCAGAGAAAGCUCUAGGGAAACCCAUAGUCAUUAGUGAGACUCAGGAGUGCUUCUCUUGUUCCCUGCACUGUUUUAGGAGCCUGGUGCAUGAGCCGUGAAGUCCUCACGGCGAGCAGCCUUCAGAGGAGCUCAUGGAUUCUCCAUGCUGCGCAAGGUAGUGACUCCCUGAGGGUGUCAACUACACUGUGAGCUCCUCAAGGACAGGCAUGGGACCAUCGCUUAGAUACUUCAAGCACUCAGAAGAGUGCCUGGCACACAGGAGGCCCUCGGAAAUGGAAGACCAAAGUCAAAAUAGUUGAGUAACACACGGCACUUACUAUGUUGUAAGUGUUUUAGAGACUUCCACGAUUUCAUCCUCACAACAUGAUGCUCAGGGACAUGGAGCCAGGUCCACAGCCCGAGAAGAAUUCCCACAUGUCACUGGAGAAACCCAGUGGGAGGUGACUGAAUGAUGGAGGUGGAUCAUUCAUGUGCUGCUCUUGUGAUAGUGAAUGAGUCUCAGAAGAUCUCAUGGUUUUAAAAACAGGAGUUUCCCUGCACAAGCUCCCUUCUCUUG